rnacentral:rRNA from 1 species
AUUGAACGCUGGCGGCAGGCCUAACACAUGCAAGUCGAACGAGUGGCGGACGGGUGAGUAAUGUAUGGGUAUCUGCCCGAUGGAGGGGGAUAACUACUGGAAACGGUAGCUAAUACCGCAUACUAUCAGAUGAGCCCAUAUGGGAUUAGCUUGUAGGUGGGGUAACGGCUCACCAAGGCGACGAUCUCUAGCUGGUCUGAGAGGAUGACCAGCCACACUGGGACUGAGACACGGUCCAGACUCCUACGGGAGGCAGCAGUGGGGAAUAUUGCACAAUGGGCGCAAGCCUGAUGCAGCCAUGCCGCGUGUAUGAAGAAGGCCUUAGGGUUGUAAAGUACUUUCAGCGGGGAGGCGUUACCCGCAGAAGAAGCACCGGCUAACUCCGUGCCAGCAGCCGCGGUAAUAC